CUUGGAAACUGAAAUAGAUUUGAAACAUUAAUUUGCAUAAUGCAUCUCCCUGCUGCUCUAAGAGCAUUUAUAUCCCUGUGAGUUGAACACUUCAUGACUGAGAGCCGUCCUUCAUGACAACAGAACCCCCAACAACCAUGACUUUUAUUAACAUCUUCAUCUGGACACUUGUUUUCUGCUUUCAAGAAGCCAGAGGACAGUACACUGUGACACAGACUCCUGCAGUGAAAGUUGUUCUCCCAGGACAGACAGUCUCUCUGAACUGUAAAACCAGCAGUAAUGUGUAUGACAAUAACUACCUAGCCUGGUACCAACAGAAACCUGGAGGAGCUCCUAAACUCCUUAUUUACUAUACUACAACACUUCAGUCUGGGACUCCAUCUAGAUUCAGUGGCAGUGGAUCUGGGAGUGACUUCACUCUGACCAUCAGUGGAGUCCAGGCUGAAGAUGCAGGAGAUUACUACUGUCAGAGUUUCCACAGUGGUCCAGUGUUCACACAGUGAUACAGAGUCGUACUAAAACCUCCCUCAGUCAGACUGCACAGUGACUGUACUGCUACAGCUGGGACCUACUGCAGGUGCUGAGGGGAGGAGAUGAUCCAGUAUAAUGACACAGUGUGUAGUAGAGCUGAACAACA